rnacentral:rRNA from 1 species
GACGUAGGAGGCGAGCGUUUGUCCGGAAUUACUGGGCGUAAAGCGUGCGUAGACGGUAGCGUAAGUCGGGUGUGAAAGCCCCGGGCUCAACCUGGGAAUUGCAUUCGAGACUGCUCUGCUAGGGUGCGGAAGAGGGAAGCGGAAUUUCCGGUGUAGCGGUGAAAUGCGUAGAUAUCGGAAGGAACACCAGUGGCGAAAGCGGCUUCCUGGUCCAGCACCGACGUCAGGCACGAAAGCGUGGGGAGCAAAC